UACGUAGGGUGCAAGCGUUAAUCGGAAUUACUGGGCGUAAAGCGUGCGCAGGCGGUUCGUUGUGUCGGCGGUGAAAGCCCCGGGCUUAACCUGGGAAUGGCCGUCGAAACUGGCGAACUGGAGUGUGGCAGAGGGGGGUGGAAUUCCGCGUGUAGCAGUGAAAUGCGUAGAGAUGCGGAGGAACACCGAUGGCGAAGGCAGCCCCCUGGGCUGACACUGACGCUCAGGCACGAAAGCGUGGGGAGCAAACAGGG
rnacentral:rRNA from 1 species